UACGUAGGGGGCAAGCGUUGUCCGGAAUUAUUGGGCGUAAAGAGCUCGUAGGCGGUCUGUCGCGUCGGCUGUGAAAACCCGGAGCUCAACUCCGGGCCUGCAGUCGAUACGGGCAGACUGGAGUUCGGCAGGGGAGACUGGAAUUCCUGGUGUAGCGGUGAAAUGCGCAGAUAUCAGGAGGAACACCGGUGGCGAAGGCGGGUCUCUGGGCCGAUACUGACGCUGAGGCGCGAAAGCGUGGGGAGCAAACAGG
rnacentral:rRNA from 1 species